CCAAACGCAAGGGUGUUCCAGGUAUACCCCAUCCACUCCUGCUGUUGAUGAACCGUUUAUAACGUUCCUGGUGUAGAAGGUGGUCCAGGGUACAGGAGUCAUUGUCAUAUACAGCUUGAUUGAGAGCCUGUUUUUCCCCUGUGUCAGUCUCCUCCUCCUCCUUUUCAGGUUGCAGAAGAGAGAAGAUCUUGGUGAUAUCCAUGAGGUUCGUUCUGGUUUAUUUGAAUAGCACUAUUCUCAUUGUAAGGAGGAGGAAAUUCCAGAUCUGUUUUCCUUGUGCUGCUUUUUAGGGAUGGAAGAGCUUUUGUUGUUUCCGCUGUGUCUUUGCUAGUGCUGGGACUGAAGGUACUGAUGAACACAAAUGGUUUUCUAUCUUUUCUUUUGUUGUUGCAGGCUGUGAAGGUGGACUUCACAGAGCUUCUUGGAUCAUUGACUAUUGUGGUGAUCUUCUGGCUGACUAAUGCCUGUUGGAAGAUGAUGUUCUUCCUAUAGUAAUUGGGGAAGUAGAUUUACUUCAUUCCCUUCUCUCCCUGACCAU
rnacentral:lncRNA from 1 species